AACGAACGCUGGCGGCAGGCUUAACACAUGCAAGUCGAACGCCCCGCAAGGGGAGUGGCAGGCGGGUGAGUAACGCGUGGGAAUCUACCCAGUUCUACGGAACAACUGAGGGAAACUUCAGCUAAUACCGUAUACGCCCUACGGGGGAAAGAUUUAUCGGAAUUGGAUGAGCCCGCGUUGGAUUAGCUAGUUGGUGAGGUAACGGCUCACCAAGGCGACGAUCCAUAGCUGGUCUGAGAGGAUGAUCAGCCACACUGGGACUGAGACACGGCCCAGACUCCUACGGGAGGCAGCAGUGGGGAAUAUUGGACAAUGGGCGCAAGCCUGAUCCAGCCAUGCCGCGUGAGUGAUGAAAGCCUUAGGGUUGUAAAGCUCUUUCAGUGGGGACGAUAAUGACGGUACCCACAGAAGAAGCCCCGGCUAACUUCGUGCCAGCCGCCGCCGUAACAC
rnacentral:rRNA from 1 species